rnacentral:rRNA from 1 species
AUUGAACGCUGGCGGCAUGCCUUACACAUGCAAGUCGAACGGCAGCGGGGGAGAAGCUUGCUUUUCCUGCCGGCGAGUGGCGAACGGGUGAGUAAUACAUCGGAACGUGCCCUGUAGUGGGGGAUAACUAGUCGAAAGAUUAGCUAAUACCGCAUACGACCUGAGGGUGAAAGUGGGGGACCGCAAGGCCUCAUGCUAUAGGAGCGGCCGAUGUCUGAUCAGCUAGUUGGUGGGGUAAAGGCCUACCAAGGCGACGAUCAGUAGCUGGUCUGAGAGGACGAUCAGCCACACUGGGACUGAGACACGGCCCAGACUCCUACGGGAGGCAGCAGUGGGGAAUUUUGGACAAUGGGCGAAAGCCUGAUCUAGCAAUGCCGCGUGUGUGAAGAAGGCCUUCGGGUUGUAAAGCACUUUUGUCCGGAAAGAAAUGGCUCUGGUUAAUACCUGGGGUCGAUGACGGUACCGGAAGAAUAAGGACCGGCUAACUACGUGCCAGCCGCCGCAGUAA